CUCCCAGCUCUAACCCAGGCUGAGAGUAGCUGCCGUUUCUGAGAGGACGAUUCGUGAGGAGGCCCUUGGCGCGGUUUUCCUUUCCUCUCCCUUCUGCGGGCCCUGGCCGUACUUCGCUGUGCCUAGAGCGUGGUGUGUUUUCGUCUACCUGCCUGAUUUUCUGCAGAAGGUGCCUUUCGUUGGCCCGAUAGUUCCUUGUCGAAAGUGCCGGCCCCCGCGCCGGCACCGGCCGUAGCCCGGUGGGAAGGCUCAAGAUGGCGUGCCUGUUGGAGACCCCAAUCCGCAUGAGCGUCCUCUCGGAAGUAACAGCUAGCAGUCGCCACUAUGUUGACAGGCUAUUUGACCCUGAUCCCCAGAAAGUUCUACAAGGUGUCAUAGACAUGAAAAAUGCUGUAAUUGGAAACAACAAGCAGAAAGCCAAUCUCAUUGUUUUAGGAGCUGUUCCAAGAUUGUUGUACUUGCUUCAGCAAGAAACCUCAAGUAUAGAGCUGAAAACUGAAUGUGCAGUGGUAUUGGGAAGUCUUGCUAUGGGUACUGAAAACAAUGUCAAGUCUCUUCUAGAUUGCCAUAUUAUCCCUGCCUUACUGCAAGGACUACUAUCUCCAGACCUGAAGUUCAUUGAAGCUUGUCUCCGAUGCCUGCGCACCAUCUUCACCAGUCCCGUCACUCCAGAGGAGCUACUGUAUACAGAUGCCACAGUGAUACCACACCUCAUGGCACUACUUAGCAGGUCCCGCUACACCCAGGAGUACAUCUGUCAGAUCUUCUCACACUGCUGUAAAGGUCCAGAUCAUCAAACAAUUUUAUUUAACCAUGGUGCAGUUCAGAAUAUUGCUCACCUACUAACCUCAGUAUCUUACAAAGUUCGAAUGCAAGCACUGAAAUGCUUCUCAGUUUUAGCUUUUGAAAACCCCCAGGUAUCGAUGACCCUGGUAAAUGUUUUGGUUGAUGGAGAAUUGUUACCACAAAUUUUUGUGAAGAUGUUACAGAGGGAUAAGCCUAUUGAGAUGCAGCUGACGUCAGCAAAAUGUUUAACUUACAUGUGUAGAGCUGGAGCAAUUCGGACAGAUGACAACUGUAUUGUAUUAAAGACACUGCCUUGUUUGGUUCGAAUGUGCAGUAAGGAGAGAUUACUAGAGGAGAGAGUUGAAGGAGCUGAGACACUCGCCUAUCUGAUUGAACCAGAUGUUGAGCUACAGAGAAUCGCUAGCAUAACUGAUCACCUCAUUGCCAUGCUUGCUGAUUAUUUCAAGUAUCCCAGCUCAGUGAGUGCCAUCACUGAUAUUAAAAGGCUUGAUCAUGACUUAAAACACGCUCAUGAACUCCGUCAGGCUGCAUUCAAGCUCUAUGCCUCUCUAGGAGCAAAUGAUGAAGACAUCCGGAAGAAGAUCAUUGAGACUGAAAAUAUGAUGGACCGAAUUGUGACUGGCUUGUCUGAGUCUAGUGUCAAGGUGCGGUUAGCUGCCGUCAGAUGUUUGCACAGUUUAUCUAGAUCUGUGCAGCAGCUUCGAACCAGUUUCCAGGAUCACGCUGUAUGGAAACCUUUAAUGAAGGUUUUACAAAAUGCACCAGAUGAAAUCCUAGUAGUAGCAUCUUCCAUGCUAUGUAAUCUUCUUCUUGAAUUUUCUCCAAGCAAAGAGCCAAUUUUAGAAUCUGGAGCUGUAGAACUGCUUUGUGGAUUAACGCAAAGUGAAAAUCCCGCUUUGCGAGUGAAUGGAAUUUGGGCUUUAAUGAAUAUGGCAUUCCAGGCUGAACAAAAAAUAAAAGCAGAUAUUUUACGAAGCUUGAGUACUGAACAGCUAUUCCGGUUAUUAUCAGAUUCAGAUUUGAAUGUGCUGAUGAAAACAUUGGGACUUCUUAGAAAUCUCCUUUCUACUCGGCCUCAUAUAGAUAAAAUAAUGAGUACUCAUGGAAAGCAAAUUAUGCAAGCCGUUACCCUUAUUCUGGAAGGGGAGCAUAACAUUGAGGUCAAAGAGCAGACACUGUGCAUCUUAGCCAACAUAGCAGAUGGGACAACAGCAAAAGAACUUAUUAUGACCAAUGAUGACAUCCUGCAGAAAAUCAAGUAUUACAUGGGUCAUUCACAUGUGAAACUGCAGCUUGCCGCUAUGUUUUGUAUAUCAAACCUCAUAUGGAAUGAAGAGGAAGGUUCACAAGAACGCCAGGAUAAGUUACGAGACAUGGGCAUCGUAGAUAUUCUACACAAACUGAGUCAGUCACCAGAUUCAAACCUUUGUGACAAGGCAAAAAUGGCACUGCAGCAGUACCUGGCGUGAUGGGAGCGCCCCGGGCACCUGCAAGCAUCCCCCGUCCUUGUUCAAGGAAGUACAGGAACUAGCCUCAUUUGAUUCCUUCUAUUUGCACAAGUCACCUUGGACUGCAGGGAGCUGUUUUGCAAAAGCAAUUUGAUGAGGGACCUGGGGCCCAGAAAGGUAACUUUCCCAAGGCUAUUCAGCUGACAACUAGCGGAGCCAGGAUUCAAACCCAGGAUGGUCUUGUCUCCAGUGCCCUUGAGCCCUGACCCUUAGCAGAGACAGUGAUGGGAUACUCACCCCCUGGCCCCUCCCACCUCACCUCAAGCUCAGACCACGGAUACCCAACUCGGCAGCAGGAGCAUCAUAGGCCAGGCCUAGUUCUUCUUAUGGAGUGGGCCAAUCAGGAAGGCUGCUGAGUCCAGAGUGACCCUCAGGAGCUGUGUCAUCCCGGGCCUCCCCGCCAGCAAGCCGUGCCACCGUUCAAGGCAGGGACCUGCAUUACCAGGACUUAAUGUCGUGUAACAUUCUGCUGAGAGAGGAUCUUACUAAUGCAAAAUGCAGAAGGUCCAGGCCAACCUCCAUCCUCAUCUUCUGGAAGAGGCUCACCACGGGUUUGCAGGGCCCACACCAGCCUUGAUAGACAUCAACAACUGUGUGGAACCAAGAAGCAGGAACAUUCAGUGGUCACCAGCACUCACCAUGUCAGGCAAAAUUUAUACCUGCAAACUCUAACUCCUCUCCAGUGCACGUCUGUUUGCAGGGUUAUUUAAUGGUUCAAGGGAUUUAUUCUCCCCUUGGAAUAGGGUCAAGCAUGGAAACACAGCCACCCAUUAUUCUUACGAACUCAGGGUUCUGAAUUCUAAACAGAAUGAAGUAAGUGCGGUAGAAAACAAUUUUCUUUACGGAUCUUUUACCUGCAGUCAUUUCAGGCUACGUUCAUGGCCAGGCUGGUACAGAGUAGCCCUCAAUAAAUAUUUGAAUUGUACUAAAAUUAUCUAUUCUAAAAGAGGUCACGGUAGGCGGCCUGUCAGCACACAAUCAACUCUUAGCUGCUUUGAUAAUAAGCACAGUUUUGACAUUUUCCCCUGAUGGAUUAAAAGCCACUUCUUUGGGUAAAGGAGAGUUUUAUUUACUUUAUAAAAUCAACAUUGUUCUCCUGAAAAGUGUACCUGAUAGAGACCUAGAUGGUAACUUGGCUACUUUUUUCUUUGUCAGUCCCAGUCUAUGGAGUGUGCCAGGACAGGGCUUGAGGGAACCCUCUCGUCUGAUUGCACGAGGCCCCAGGGCCUGUGGGAAAGCGAAGCAAGCUAAGCCAACACAUGUGUACCAGAUACAUGCAGGACGUGUCCAGCCCCAUCAUGACGACACAGCUAGUGCUAGACUGUGUGAAGUUCAAAGACAUGAAGUUCAAAGACGUGAAGUAACUAACCCAAGGUACAAAAGAAAAAUUAAAUUCUCAAGCGGUAGAAUCUAGUUUUAAACCCAGGUUCGUCUGAGUGCAUGCUCUUUCAACUACUCCAGGAAAGAAGCAAGAUGCAUGGAUUCAGGAGUGUUGGUUAGUUUCAUCAAGCAACAUAGUUUUGCAGGGAGAAAGUGAGAACCAAGUUGGGUAUG